UCGAGGGGCAGCAUGGUCUUAGCUUGCUAAGGCUGAUGGCGACCGGCGCACGGGUGAGUAACACGUAUCCAACCUGCCGUCUACUCUUGGCCAGCCUUCUGAAAGGAAGAUUAAUCCAGGAUGGGAUCAUGAGUUCACAUGUCCGCAUGAUUAAAGGUAUUUUCCGGUAGACGAUGGGGAUGCGUUCCAUUAGAUAGUAGGCGGGGUAACGGCCCACCUAGUCAACGAUGGAUAGGGGUUCUGAGAGGAAGGUCCCCCACAUUGGAACUGAGACACGGUCCAAACUCCUACGGGAGGCAGCAGUGAGGAAUAUUGGUCAAUGGGCGAUGGCCUGAACCAGCCAAGUAGCGUGAAGGAUGACUGCCCUAUGGGUUGUAAACUUCUUUUAUAAAGGAAUAAAGUCGGGUAUGCAUACCCGUUUGCAUGUACUUUAUGAAUAAGGAUCGGCUAACUCCGUGCCAGCAGCCGCGGUAAUACGGAGGAUCCGAGCGUUAUCCGGAUUUAUUGGGUUUAAAGGGAGCGUAGAUGGAUGUUUAAGUCAGUUGUGAAAGUUUGCGGCUCAACCGUAAAAUUGCAGUUGAUACUGGAUGUCUUGAGUGCAGUUGAGGCAGGCGGAAUUCGUGGUGUAGCGGUGAAAUGCUUAGAUAUCACGAAGAACUCCGAUUGCGAAGGCAGCCUGCUA
rnacentral:rRNA from 1 species